AUAAAAAAUUGUGAAGAAUAACUUUAGUUUUAGUUGAAGGCCCAAAAUAAAACAAGUAGGGUUGCCCUAGCUAUAAAAUAUAAAUCAUUUCUAUUCUAUCACACCCACAAUUCCAUUCGCCGCUCUCCUCUAACACCCUAAACCAAUAUCAAUACCGAAAGAUCUCACAAAAAACAACUUGAAUCAAGAUGCGUGCUAAGUGGAAGAAGAAGAGAAUGAGGAGGCUAAAGAGGAAGCGCCGAAAGAUGAGGCAAAGAUCCAAGUAGACGAUUAGGCUGUGUAGGAUGGCUUCUUCCAAUCUUUCUUCAUGCACAUCGUCUCUUUGGAGUUUGUAUGUAAAAGAUGGAUCUUUGGGUUGAAGCUUUAUUAUAUAGUCUAGUUAGUUUCUGCAUGCUUGCUAUCUUUAAUUUCUGUUUUUCCUUAUGCUUUACCCGAAUACUACUGUCUUGGGGUUUUAACAUUUUGAGUUGAACUUAUCAUUUUGAAUCACUAGUGUUUGCUGUGUUUAAUUACUUAAA